UUCGCAAUGCCCGAAAGGGUGACGAAGCGACGCCGCGUGGGUGAGGAAGGCCUUCGGGUUGUAAAGCCCUGUCAGGAGUUAAGAAAUGUAAGUGUGCUAAUAUCGCAUUUACUUGACGAAGGCUCCAAAGGAAGUCACGGCUAACUCUGUGCCAGCAGCCGCGGUAAUACAGAGGUGGCAAGCGUUGUUCGGAAUUAUUGGGCGUAAAGAGCACGUAGGUGGGUUUGUAAGUCAGAUGUGAAAGCCUCCUGUUCAACGGGAGAAUUGCAUCUGAAACUACUGAUCUUGAGUAUAGGAGGGGAGAAUGGAACUUCUGGUAGAGCGGUGAAAUGCGUAGAUAUCAGAAGGAACGCCGGCGGCGAAAGCGAUUCUCUGGCCUAUUACUGACACUCAGUGUGCGAAAGCUAGGGGAGCAAACGGGAUUAGAUACCCCGGUAGUCCUAGCCGUAAACGAUGGGCACUAAGUAGAGGGGUUUU
rnacentral:rRNA from 2 species